rnacentral:rRNA from 1 species
CCUAAAUUUCCCAUGGCGAACUGCUCAGUAACACAUGAUCAACUUAACCUAUUGAGAAAGAUAACCUCGGGAAACUGAGGAUAAUAUUUCAUAGUUGAAUUGCCUUGGAGAAGUUUUUCAACAAAAGGGAUAGGGAAAAUGGUCUCUAUCCGCUAUAGGAUAGGAUCGUGUUCGAUUAUGGUAGUUGGUGAGGUAACGGCUCACCAAGCCGAUAAUCGAUAGGGGCCGUGAGAGCGGGAGCCCCGAGAUGGGUACUGAGACAACGACCUCAGGCCUUACGAGGCGCAGCAGGUACGAAACCUCCACAAUACACGAAAGUGUGAUGGGGUUACCCAAAGUGUUCAUUAUUGAACUGUGGUAGGAGAGUAAUGUCCCCUACUAGAAAGGAGAGGGCAAGGCUGGUGCCAGCCGCCGCGGUAAAACCAGCUCUUCAAGUGGUCGGGAUAAUUAUUGGGCUUAAAGUGUCCGUAGCCGGUUUAGUAAGUUCCUGGUAAAAUCGGGUAGCUUAACUAUCUGUCUGCUAGGAAUUCUACUAUACUAGAGGACGGGAGAGGUCGACGGUAGUCCAGGGGUAGGGGUGAAAUCCUAUAAUCCUUGGAGGACCUCCAGUGGCGAAGGCGGUCGACUAGAACGUCCCUGACGGUGAGGGACGAAAGCUGGGGGAGCGAACCGGAUUAGAUACCCGGGUAGUCCCACCUGUAAACGAUGCGGGCUAGGUGUAGGGGCAGCUCCGAUCUGCUCCUGUGCCGCAGAGAAAUUGUUAAGCCCGCCGCCUGGGGAGUACGAUCCCAAGAUUGAAACUUAAAGGAAUUGGCGGGGGAGCACCACAAGGGGUGAAGGCUGCGGUUUAAUUGGA